rnacentral:sRNA from 1 species
UGCCUAAACCCGUAAUCUUCGGGCAUGGCAAUAAAACUCGGUAAGAGAUAUUAAGCUCGUCGUCAGAGCUACUCUUACCGAGUCAUAUCCCGAAAGGGGUAUGGGUGGCCGAAAGGCUAUC